rnacentral:rRNA from 1 species
AGAGUUUGAUCAUGGCUCAGGAUGAACGCUGGCGGCGUGCUUAAUACAUGCAAGUCGAAGGACGCUUUAUCAAGCUUGCUUGAUGAAGUAGUGCGUGGCGAACGGGUGAGUAAUACGUGGCAACCUACCCCGAUGAGCGGGAUAACCAAUGGAAACGUUGGAUAAUACCGCAUAGGUAGCGGAAGGCAUCUUCUGCUUAUUAAAGUCGCGUUUGCGAUACUUCGGGAUGGGCUUACGCGCAUUAGUUAGUUGGUGAGGUAACGGCCCACCAAGACGAUGAUGCGUAGCCGGCCUGGAGGGUGAACGGCCACAUUGGGACUGAGACACGGCCCAGACUCCUACGGGAGGCAGCAGAAGGAAUUUUCGGCAAUGGGCGAAAGCCUGACCGAGCAACGCCGCGUGAGUGAUGAAGGCUUCGGAUCGUAAAACUCUGUUGUAAAGGAAGAACUGAGAGAUGAGGAAAUGCUUCUCUUUGACGGUACUUUACUAGAAAGUCACGGCUUACUACGUGCCAGCAGCCGCGGUAAUACGAGGUGGCAAGCGUUAUCCGGAUUUAUUGGGCGUAAAGGGUGCGCAGGCGGUCUGUUAAGUUGAGGUGAAAGCGUUGGGCUCAACCCAAUCGAGCCUCGAAUACUGGCAGACUAGAGUGAGAAGAGGGUAUUGGAAUUCCAUGUGUAGCGGUAAAAUGCAUAGAUAUAUGGAGGAACACAGUGGCGAAGGCGGAUACCUGGUCUGUUACUGACGCUCAUGCACGAAAGCGUGGGGAGAAAUAGGAUUAGAUACCCUAGUAGUCCACGCCCUAAA